GGGCAGAUGGCCGAGUGGUUAAGGCGCUAGCUUUAGGUCAUCAUGUGACUCGCUAGUUCGAAAGAGCGUGGGUUCGAACCCCACUCUGCUCA
rfam:Rachicladosporium antarcticum strain CCFEE 5527 scaffold_10, whole genome shotgun sequence.